rnacentral:lncRNA from 1 species
CUGGAUUUGGGAGAUGCAGUGAGAAUGAGUCAGAGCCCACGACAUGAGGGAGAGAAAGGGGGACCCUGAGGACUUGGGGUCCGGUGUGAGGAUCCUGCACUCGGUUUCUGUGAUGCGCUACACCAACCUGAACUUCGCUUCCUGAGACCUAAGAUUCAGCCCCGUGCUCAGCAGACAUCAGGGAUCACCGACUCUGUGCCAGGAGCUGUUCUUGAUGCUGGGAACGCAGGGGUGGACAAAACAGAGAAAGCCCUGCCCUCAGGUGUGGUCAGAAGAGACAGGGAAGGAUUUGGAAGCUAAAGCUCAGAUCCAGACUGGGCUUGUUUCAACUCGUUCCGUGGGCCUGAUGUAGUCUAGAGAUGAUUCUUGGUGUGGGCUGUGGGAGCUCCUGCGGUGUAGUUUGGUGAGGGGCCAGCCCGAGGCAAACUGGGGACCUGUGUCUCCAACCUUCAGCACUUCUGCCCUUCAGGGUCAUCCCUCCAGGUGCCCCACCCUGGGGACUUGAACUCUGCCCUUGUCCCCCAAACCACCUUACCCUAAUGCUGUGGUUCUCCUGGUCCAUGCAGGGCGCAGUGUCCUGCUGAGUGUGCAGGUGCCUGUCCCUGCCCUCUGCAAUGUCAUCUCCAUGCAGCAGCAGCGUUUACCCACGGAUGGAUCCCCACCCCUGGACCAUGCCUGGGUACAGGUUUUGUUCCGGUUGGUCUGCUAUUGAGUAUGGAGGCCAGGGUUCCACUCCAGACCCCUCUGACUCCCCUCACCAGGCUGUUCCCAGAGACUUGUGAGGGAAGUUGACAAUAAAUAUGUAAAUUCAGAUGGGUUUCAUGUUAGUGAAAACCUGAAUAUUGAAAUAUUACAAACCUAGGGUUGAAGAUCUCAGGCUGGUGGGAGUGCCUUUGUGCAUGUAUCCACCCACUUUUCCUUGCAGAACUUUCUACACAACAAUUCAGCACAGGAAGCAUGGAGGAGUAAAGCCAUCUGGGGAGAGAUGAGCAGUGAAAACCGGGGGCCGGCAGGUU